AAGAGACCUUUAAGACAGCUGGCCAUUAUGCUGACUGGGUGUCUGCACUAAGUUUGGCAUCAAUAUGGUGACCUCCUGGGAGCGGGGGACCACCAGGUUGCCUAAGGAUGGGAGAACUGGCCCAGGUCAGAAAUGGAGCAGGUCAGAAUUCCUGCACCAAUCGGUAGUGGGACUGUGCCUGGGCAAUAUAGCAAGAUCUUGGUUCUU
rnacentral:SRP_RNA from 2 species